ACACACACACACACACACACAUAUAUUCAUUCCCAUCCCAUCCCGUAGGCCUACUGUGCCACACACACACACACAUAUAUAUAUUCAUUCCCAUCCCAUCCCGUAGGCCUACUGUGCCAUACACACACACACACACACACACAUUCAUUCCCAUCCCAUCCCGUCUUGUCAAAAAAUGCCCUGUCUCAUCCCAUCCCGUGAUUGUUAAAAGGGAAGAGACAGCUUUCUUUUAACCACUCGCUGUAUGACACAUUUCAGACAGGAUAUUAUUCGGGUUACCCUUUUUUUCGUGUGUAUUUCAUUCUCACCCUGUUCCUAGUUGAAUUUUUAAAAUGUAAUCCACUACUGCCAUAUUAUCUGUUACAAGAAUAACAGGAACCACGCAAACCUACUUCAGCCAUUUUAUUAUGCAUGUGUUGAUUUAAAAAAAAACAAAAACAAAAACAAAAAACUCUAUGCCACAGUCUUGAGUUUCAUUCCAACUUGAACUCCAAAUAAGUUUAAUUAAUCCAAUUAUUUGCUGAGGUUGACAUAUUUAAAAUCAGUUUAGGUCUUCUACAUCCAUUCCCACAAACAUAAAUGUAAAGUGCACACAUUCUAAUUGAAUGCCUUUGAUGGCAAGGACACAUUUUUAAAAGGAACCCUAAAUCAGAACUUCUUGACAAAAUGAAACCUACAUUUACUUAACAGUACAUGUGCAUUCGCCUGUAGCCUUAAAAAAAACAAAAAAAACCCUCAGUUUGGCCAAUGAUGGCUUUUUUGAUUUAUCAGGUAUGUCAACAAACUUAAAACAUUCGAUCCCUGUGAUACAAAAGUGGAAAAAAGAAGAACUUCAUUUUAUUUGCAUUAUCUAUUUAGCUACCAGUAAUUUUCUUUUUUUAAUGAGAUGAUCGGGAGAAGGAAGGGGAUUCGUUGAAAUUAAAUAUCCUUUCAGAUUUUUAGGUUAUUACUGCGGUAAAUAUGAGACCUGCAAAACGUUGGGUAUCAAUGUGAAUGCUUCCCAAUUGUAAAAUGUUAAUAUUAAACAAAAAGAAGUAAUCUUGUGAAAGAGUAUGGAUAUGUGCCCCUGAGAACUGUUAUUUAGACUGCAAUCAGAGAUGUAGUUAAUAUUUAAUAUAGCAGGGAAUAUUGGGACUGGGGAUUGAAAACAUGCAAGAGUAAUAAUCUUUUUUUAGCAUUUAGCUGCUCAAGAGAUUUUUGAAUAAUCAAACAUUUAUUUUGUUAAUUACAAGGUUAUUGGAAGGGUUGGAUAAAUCAACUUGUCCUGCUGUAUUGCUUUUUAUACACUUUUUUUUUGCAAAAGUUUUACUGAAAUGAGCAGUGUCAGCAAACUUAAUCUUCUCUGACUGAAUUUUCCUCUUGAAAGACUGGAUCUCUCAUAAGUAUAUUGUAUUUACACUGGGUGAAGCACAAGUUAAUUUCCACACCACUUAUAUUAUAGUAUGUCUCUGAAAAAAGGGCAGGAGUCCUCUUUCCCAUGAGACAUCAGCCCACUUAGUGGCAGCUAGCAUGAUGAUUAGUUGCCUUCUCUCUGAAUUAUCUGAUAAUCUCAAUGUGUCCUGGAGCCAUAUACAUUCAGUAUCUAGUAACUCAUUAGUCUGAAGUACCAGUAAAAUAAAGGUAGAGUGGUUAUCUGCAGCAAAGAUCAUUACAGGCUGAUCCUGUAAAAACCCUUCAAAAAGAUAUACAUAAAGACAAUGAAACUGGAAGAAAAUCUGAAUACUGUGGCAUAAUCAAGAAAGAUAAUAAAAAUAAAUCUAAAGCAGUAAAAAUAACCUGUUUCAAGUAAAUAAUAAAAUGCAAAAUAGAGAAUUAAACAUGAAUAGGAUAGAGAAUUCAAAACAAAGAUAGGAGAACCAAAAAUGGAAAUGGUACCAAAUCCACUAAAGAUAAGACAGAAGACAUAGUAUUUAAUUUAUCAAGUAAAACUGUAACCACAUCCCAAAAAGCAGUAUUGAGCAAAGGACUUAAGUUUAUACCGACUAAAAAAUACAUUGAUAAAGAUAAACUGACCACUGAAUUAAAGGAGUGGGAGAGACACAUGAGAUUAGCAGAAUAUUGGACUCCUCCGGAUGGAAGAGAUAAAUGGUUAGAUAUGUAUAUUGAAGUACUGUAGUUAAACAAAAAAUAAUAGGACUAAAGAAAAAAUGUAAACUUAAUUUAACCAAUAUUGAAGAACAAGGUAUGACUGAGUUGUUAAAUGAUGAUGAUACAAGUAUAAGACCAGCAGAUAAAGGGUCAGGAAUAGUGAUAAUGAACACAGAUAGCUAUAUGAAAUCUGUAGAAUGUGAAUUAAAUAAUAUGGAAACAUAUGAAGAAGUUAAAAGCAAUACGAUCAAUAAAUCGGUAAAAGAGGUUAAGGAAAUUGCAGCGAGGCUAUACAAUAAAGGCAUUAUAUCAAAAGAAUUUUAAAAAUACAUGCAGCCACAUAAUGCAAGAACAGGCCUAGCAAGAGGAAAUCCAGAGAAUACAUACAAUUUUAUUUUGCAUGGAUGUAAAAUCCUUGUACCUAAGUGUCCGUCGUACAGAAACUUUAAAAGAUUAUCAAAAAGUACUAGAUAAUAGACUAGAUAAAUCAAUGCCAACAGCAGAAGUGUUGAACAUGAUCAACAUAGUUUUAGAAAACGGUUAUUUUACAUUUGUUGAUAAGAAUUUCAAACAAACCAAUGGUACAGCAAUAGGAUCUAAAUUAGGAAUGCGUUUUCCCAGUACAUACAUGGGGAAAUGGGAAGAACAAUUACUUAGAAAAUCAAAAAGAGAACCUUUAGAAUACAUUCGAUUUGUAGAUGAUAUUUUGGGGGUUUGGACACAUGGAGAAGAAUCUCUUUUCCAAUUUCAUAAAAUGGCAAAUGAAAUACACAGUAAUAUUAAGGUGGACCUUCAAUGGGCAAGAAAAAAAAUAUAAUUUUUAGAUAUCAUAGUAAAACUUGAAGAAGGUUCAAUUGAGACUGACCUCUUCUGUAAAUCUAUUGGCAUGCACCAGUAUUUGCACAUGUCCUCUGCACAUCCGAUACACACUAAAAGGGCAAUCCCAAAGGGUCUAGGAAUAAGAAUACGAAGAAUAUGCUCAAAAGAAAGUGACUGUAAAACAAAGAAAUGUAUUAAAAACAAAUCUUAAAAAAAGAGGAUACAAAGAAAGAAUUAUAGAGACGGAGUUAAGAAAAGUGGAUAAACUAAAAAGAGAUGAUCUACUAGAUUAUGAAAAUAGAGAUAAAAAGGUCAAGAGAGUCCCAUUAGUAAUGACCUACUCUAAACUUUUGCCUACUAUUUCUAAAAUAGUUUGGAAACACUUGCAUAAUUCAGAAAAAUUGAAAAAAGUAUUUUUUAAGGCCCCAUUUGAAGCAUUCAAAAGAGAAGCUAAUUUAGGUGAUAUUUUAGUUCACAGUAAACAUAAAAUAAUAAUUGACAGAAUAGGUUCUACAAAUACUUGCACUAGUACAUGUAAAGCGUGUACAUGCAUGGACAAAAGUCAAAAUAUUAUUAAACAUAAGAACACCACAUAUCCACUAAAAACUAAUACCUACUGUAAAAAUAGUAAUGUUGUUUAUGGAAUCGCCUGUGAAAAAUGUGAUGAAAUAAAAUAUGUUGGAGAGACUGGAACAACUUUAUAUAAAAUAAUUCAGAAUCACCUUUCAUUAAUUAGAAAAAAAAAAAAAAAUGAAUGAACCAA